rnacentral:rRNA from 1 species
CCUACGGGCGGCUGCAGUGGGGAAUAUUGGACAAUGGGGGCAACCCUGAUCCAGCCAUGCCGCGUGUGUGAAGAAGGCCCUCGGGUUGUAAAGCACUUUCAGUGAGGAAGAACGCCUGGUGGUUAAUACCCAUCAGGAAAGACAUCACUCACAGAAGAAGCACCGGCUAACUCCGUGCCAGCAGCCGCGGUAAUACGGAGGGUGCGAGCGUUAAUCGGAAUUACUGGGCGUAAAGCGCGCGUAGGUGGCUUGAUAAGCCGGUUGUGAAAGCCCGGGGCUCAACCUGGGAACGGCAUCCGGAACUGUCAAGCUAGAGUGCAGGAGAGGAAGGUAGAAUUCCCGGUGUAGCGGUGAAAUGCGUAGAGAUCGGGCGGAAUACCAGUGGCGAAGGCGGCCUUCUGGACUGACAAUGACACUGAGGUGCGAAAGCGUGGGUAGCAAACAGGAUUAGAUACACUAGUAGUA